rnacentral:rRNA from 1 species
UGGGGAAUAUUGGACAAUGGGCGCAAGCCUGAUCCAGCAACGCCGCGUGAAUGAUGAAGGCCUUCGGGUCGUAAAGUUCUUUUGGCAGGGAAGAAAAUGACGGUACCUGCAGAAUAAGCUCCGGCUAACUUCGUGCCAGCAGCCGCGGUAAUACGAAGGGGGCUAGCGUUGUUCGGAAUUACUGGGCGUAAAGCGUGCGUAGGUUGUUAUUCAAGUUAGUGGUGAAAGCCCAGAGCUUAACUCUGGAACUGCCAUUAAAACUGAAUAGCUAGAGAGUGUUAGAGGUAAGUGGAAUUCCUAGUGUAGGAGUGAAAUCCGUAGAUAUUAGGAGGAACAUCAAUGGCGAAGGCAGCUUACUGGGUCACAUCUGACACUGAGGCACGAAAGCGUGGGUAGCAAA